rnacentral:rRNA from 1 species
GGGAGUGUAGCUUGCUACAUUACCUAGCGGCGGACGGGUGAGUAAUGCUUAGGAAUCUGCCUAUUAGUGGGGGACAACAUUCCGAAAGGAAUGCUAAUACCGCAUACGUCCUACGGGAGAAAGCAGGGGAUCUUCGGACCUUGCGCUAAUAGAUGAGCCUAAGUCGGAUUAGCUAGUUGGUGGGGUAAAGGCCUACCAAGGCGACGAUCUGUAGCGGGUCUGAGAGGAUGAUCCGCCACACUGGGACUGAGACACGGCCCAGACUCCUACGGGAGGCAGCAGUGGGGAAUAUUGGACAAUGGGCGGAAGCCUGAUCCAGCCAUGCCGCGUGUGUGAAGAAGGCCUUUUGGUUGUAAAGCACUUUAAGCGAGGAGGAGGCUACUCUAGUUAAUACCUAGAGAUAGUGGACGUUACUCGCAGAAUAAGCACCGGCUAACUCUGUGCCAGCAGCCGCGGUAAUACAGAGGGUGCGAGCGUUAAUCGGAUUUACUGGGCGUAAAGCGUGCGUAGGCGGCUGAUUAAGUCGGAUGUGAAAUCCCUGAGCUUAACUUAGGAAUUGCAUUCGAUACUGGUCAGCUAGAGUAUGGGAGAGGAUGGUAG